rnacentral:ncRNA from 1 species
CAAACGAAAAGGCAAACCUUGAGAAAUCAUGGGACGCAAAACUAUAGGGACUUACGAGCAAUGCCGAAGUCAGCCAGUUACCGAA